rnacentral:rRNA from 1 species
UACGUAGGGUGCGAGCGGUAAUCGGAAUUACUGGGCGUAAAGCGUGCGCAGGCGGUCUGCUAAGACAGGUGUGAAAUCCCUGGGCUCAACCUAGGAAUUGCGCUUGUGACUGGCGGGCUAGAGUACGGUAGAGGGGGGUGGAAUUCCUGGUGUAGCAGUGAAAUGCGUAGAGAUCAGGAGGAACACCGAUGGCGAAGGCAGCCCCCUGGGCCUGUACUGGAGCUCAGGCACGAAAGCGUGGGGAGCAAACAGG